ensembl:lncRNA
UCUGUCUCCUGGCUCUUUUCCACUUUGGCAAAGAAACUUUCCAGACGUCUGUUUUUAACCCAUUUUCUAGCUGCUGGGCUUUAUUUUAGCGGUAACUGUCACGUGACCCAGAAGAGCGCCUUGGCCUGCGUCAACAGUGACGGAGACGAAUGGAACAUUUUUCACAAUAAAACAUCUUUCAGAUUCUGAAAUAAAUCAAACAGAAGUUAUUUAUUCUGUCUGUGCGGCCCGGUACCAAAUGACAGGUCAGAUGUUUGGACCAUUGUGUUCCACAGAGAAAAGUAUAAAAGCUGCAGCUCCUCCACAGCUUUGAACGGUUGCCAUGGCGACAUGCGUCCUUUGAUGACGGCACCUAGAGCGCCCAGAGAGGGAGCUGCAUCUGUGUCUGUCGCCACCAUUGUCAGGUCGUGUUGUCUCCCCGCAGCAGUAGAACCCCCCUGCUGGUCUCCGAUGGGAUGGCCCCUCCCUCUCAGAGCGGCGGCACCAUCAGCCACCCCCCCGACAUGUCGAGCUGGAACCCUUUCGGAGAGGACAACUUCUCCAAACUGACGGAGGAGGAGCUGAUCGACCGGGAGUUUGACCUGCUCAGAGCAGAAAAGCCAGCGGAGAGGACAGCCAGCGCCGAGGCCGACCGGCCGCCGCCGUCCACCAAGCCCCUCCCAUCAGAGGACCUGUUUGGCUCCAGCCCAUUUGUGGCCAACGCAGGCAAGUCUUAGAGGCUGUCUGCCAUGAGGACUCGACACUGUGGAGCGGCUGACCCUCAGAGAUCAAUUAAAGGGCUACACCAUGUUUCCUCAUCCCUGCAGCUCUCCGUCCUGAACAGUCAGGAGGCGCUGACCUGCUUCAUGUUCAGGUCUUCACCGCCGCUCCGCUCGGGGUCAAAGGUCACACCGGGAGCAGCUCAGAUGUUUGCUUUUCAGAUUUGGUCAGAAAGAUCCGAGACGGCGAGGAGGGGCUGCAAAGUGACCCGCUGGUGCAGCGGCGCCUCGUGGAGAGAGCGGGACAUGUGGGCGGGGCUGGAGUGUCACUAAAACGCCAUCAGCUGCUGACAGAAGCCUCUAAACGCUCCAACAACAGAUAGUCGGCUACAAGCGUACCGGGACAACUAGUCCUCUUUGAAGCCUUUGAACACAGACGGUUUGGAGAAAAUCUUUCCUGUGGCCAAUUUGCAGCCUUCAGUUCUGUUUUCUCCAAACGGUGGUUCUGGUUCCUGAUGAGUCGGUUCUUCUCAGUUCAGUUCAGAGUUUUGGCGGCGUCACACUCGUCUUGAUGAGUUGUAGCUCAAACUUUCAGGGCAGACGGCGCCGUCCGCCUGUCUGCUCCUUCCUCCUCAGAGGGUUAGGGUCUUUAUCCGUGGGACCCUCAGGAUUCAGUUCAGACACCGGGAAGGCGCCGACAGGAACAGUUUUGGCCCUGCUGGGUCUCCCUGGCAGCUCCCUCCUCGCCGUUUGUCUCCAAAGACAAAGCCUUGAAAGUCAAAGUCAACCUGAGACGUCAUCGCUCCUUCCUGUUCAACGGCAGCAAUAAGUUUCUGUGCCUCAGCACUCGCCGUGCUGCAGAGUCCGGUCCUG